rnacentral:rRNA from 1 species
GUGGAUGAGGCAUGCAAGUCGAACGAAUCUUGUAGCUUGCUACAAGAUUAGUGGCGGAAGGGUUAGUAAUACAUGGGUAACUUGCCUUUAACUUGGGAAUAACGCUUGGAAACGGGCGCUAAUACCGAAUGUGGUGGCUUAAGGCAUCUUAGGCAAAUUAAAGUGGGGGAUCGCAAGACCUCGCGGUUAAAGAGAGGCCCAUGGGAUAUCAGCUAGUUGGUGAGGUAAUGGCUCACCAAGGCUAAGACGUCUAGGCGGAUUGAGAGAUUG